GGAAGACAAAGCUCAGUUAGGAAGAGUGUAGUUGGUUCCUGAAGUAGGUCUGAGAGAGCUGCGUGGAUGUCAGAAGGUUACUUCUGAAAGAGAAUGGGGGAGCUGUGGGAGUGCAGCGGGGACAAAAGGUUCAAACAUGAAGCAGGGAACUAAAUGGGAGCUGCGAAAGGGAUGAGUUAUAGAGAAGAGUGUAUCACUGCAAGAGCUGGAGUGGUAGUUAAUCUGUGGAAGCAGAUGAGGGCAAAAACCUGCGAUGCCAGGCCAAAACAGGAGGGACAUGUCAGGCUUGUCGCCCCUUCAUCUUGCUGCUGACAGAGAGAGAAUAAAGGCACCAUGGGCUUCCUCAAUCUUGAUUUGAUUAUACAUUAAAUACAAUUAAAAAAAUAUAAAAUGCCCUACUCUGCAACUUACAACCCCUGUAUAUUUUUUACCAUCAUAAAAUUACUCUGU